rnacentral:misc_RNA from 1 species
UUUCCGUAGGUGGACCUGCGGAAGGAUCAUUAUUGAAUGAAACACUUCUGGCUUUAUGCUGUUGUGCUAGCCCUUUGGGCAAUGUGCACACGGCUCUGGUCACUUGUUUCUUCUGUUCCACCUGUGCACUGCCUGUAGACACGCUGUGUCUAUGAUAUUUGUUAACACACAACAAUGUUAGUUGGCAUGUUAUAUAUAAUAAUAAAAUAUACAACUUUCAACAACGGAUCUCUUGGCUCUC